rnacentral:RNase_P_RNA from 1 species
CGGUCGCGGCCCGCAAGGGCUGAGGAAAGUCCGGACUCCACAGGGCGGAGGAUCCGCUUGUCAAGGGCGGAAGGUGUCGGGUAAUCCGACGCGAUGGAAAGUGCCACAGAGAAAGACAGCCUCGCAAGGGGUGAUGGUGAAAGGGUGAGGUAAGAGCUCACCGGCACGGCUGAAACGACGUGCGCAGGGUAAACCCUCCUCGGAGCAAGAUCAAAUAGGGGAUCGAACGGGCGGCUCGUCCGGCUGGCGCCGAUAAGGUGUCAUGAGAUUCCGGGUUGAUUGCUUAGAUGAAUGAUCGGAUUCGUCGGUGUCCGCAAGGAUGUCGGCGGAGAACAGAAUCUGGCUUAUUCGCCG